rnacentral:rRNA from 1 species
CCUACGGGGGGCUGCAGUGGGGAAUAUUGGACAAUGGGGGCAACCCUGAUCCAGCCAUGCCGCGUGUGUGAAGAAGGCCCUCGGGUUGUAAAGCACUUUCAGUGAGGAAGAACGCCUGGUGGUUAAUACCCAUCAGGAAAGACAUCACCCACAGAAGAAGCACCGGCUAACUCCGUGCCAGCAGCCGCGGUAAUACGGAGGGUGCGAGCGUUAAUCGGAAUUACUGGGCGUAAAGCGCGCGUAGGUGGCUUGAUAAGCCGGUUGUGAAAGCCCCGGGCUCAACCUGGGAACGGCAUCCGGAACUGUCAAGCUAGAGUGCAGGAGAGGAAGGUAGAAUUCCCGGUGUAGCGGUGAAAUGCGUAGAGAUCGGGAGGAAUACCAGUGGCGAAGGCGGCCUUCUGGACUGACACUGACACUGAGGUGCGAAAGCGUGGGUAGCAAACAGGAUUAGAUACCCCAGUAGUC